GUCUACAGCCAUGCCACCUUGAACAAGCCCAAUCCCGUCUAAUCUCGGAAGCUAAGCAGGUUUGGAUCUGGUUAGUACUUGGAUAGGAGACCACCCAGGAAGACCAGGUGCUGUAGGCG
rnacentral:rRNA from 1 species